rnacentral:rRNA from 1 species
CGCGUAGGUGGUUCGAUCAGUCGGAGGUGAAAGCCCUCGGCUCAACCGAGGAUCCGCGUCCGAUACUGUCGAACUUGAGUGCAGGAGAGGAGAGCGGAAUUCCCAGUGUAGCGGUGAAAUGCGUGGAUAUUGGGAGGAACACCGGUGGCGAAGGCGGCUCUCUGGACUGCCACUGACACUGAGGCGCGAAAGCUAGGGGAGCAAACGGGAUUAGAUACCCCGGUAGUCCUAGCCGUAAACGAUGGGCACUAGGUGUGGGAGGUAUCGACCCCUUCCGUGCCGCAGCUAACGCACUAAGUGCCCCGCCUGGGGAGUACGGCCGCAAGGUUGAA